AUAGAGAUGGCUGAGUGGACUAAAGCGGCGGAUUGCUAAUCCGUUGUACAAUUUUUUUGUU
rfam:Oryza punctata chromosome 1, whole genome shotgun sequence.